GAAGAAAGACCUGAUCUUGUCACAGGAGUAGUGCUGGUGAGGAGAGGACAACAGACCUAGUGAUGUUUCUUUCACCCUCCCCAAUUCCCACCACCUAGAAAAUGAAGACUGACAACUAUUAAUGACUCCUGCCCAGAGUGAAGGAGGGUGUUUCCCAUGCAGACAGUGCAACCUGCCCCGGCCCCUCACCACAGUGAGAGAAGACUCAGCAGCACAUGCUCACCGAGCUAACUGAACCGAUGGUGCUCUCCGUAGUGGCCACAGACUACAGCUGAGGUCAACUGAUGCAUGCCCAACGACGUCUGCAGAUCCCAAGAUAUGAUUUCAUUAAUUGCCAUGGAUAAAUCAGUUGGGCAUUUGCUGGCAGUGUUUAAAAUGCCACGAUGGGUCAGAUUAGAAAGCUGCUAGUACUGUAAGUCCAAAAGUGACCCAAGGAGGGUUCUUGGCUUCUGCCAAGGGUAAGAUCCCACAGCUGCUUGAGUUGACUCCACCUGAACAAAGUGAGGCCUCUGCCAUCAGGCCCAUCAUUCCAUCUAGAUAGGUAUGGCCUCCUGCCACCACCGGGACACACAUCUGUGAUACAACCAGAGACAACAAAGGUGCUUCUCCUCUCUGGAGUAGUGUAAUGAUGAAAGACACGUAUUAGAAGUUGAACUACCAAGGUUUGAAUCCCAGCUCUGCCCACCAACUAUGUAAUCAUGAGAAAGUCACUUAACCUCUCUGAAUCUCAGCUUCCUCCUCUGCAAAAGGGAAGAAUAAAGCUCCUAUAUAGUCCCAUAAAAUUGGUGUAAGGAUUAAAAGACAUGAUUGGUGUGAAGAGUUAGAACAGUGAGUCAACAUGAAGUCAUGUUCCAUAUUAUUUUUCCUUUAGGGUCCUCCGUCUUCCCCUUUCCCUGGAGACCCAUCCUAUCUGCCCUAGUGGGGCAGUGCCUUGUUCUCUGGGAUGCUCCUCUCUUUACUCUGAAAGAGAUCAAAUAACCA
rnacentral:lncRNA from 1 species